GCCAGCAUGGUGUAGUGGUUUGGAUUUUGGACUAUGACUCUGGAGACCAGAGUUCAAUUCCCAGCUCAGUCA